CACAGGUAGCAAUACUGGGUGGCGACCGGCAAACGGGUGCGGAACACGUACGCAAUCUUCCCAAAACUGGUGAAUAGCCCUCCGAAAGGAGGAUUAAUACACCGUAACAUAAUGAAGUGGCAUCACUUUAUUAUUAUAGCUUCGGCGGUUUUGGAUGAGCGUGCGGCUGAUUAGGUAGUUGGCGGAGUAAUAGCCCACCAAGCCUACGAUCAGUAACUGGUGUGAGAGCACGACCAGUCACACGGGCACUGAGACACGGGCCCGACUCCUACGGGAGGCAGCAGUAAGGAAUAUUGGUCAAUGGACGCAAGUCUGAACCAGCCAUGCCGCGUGGAGGAUGAAGGCCCUCUGGGUUGUAAACUUCUUUUAUCUGGGAAGAAAUGUAUUUUUUCUAAAGUACUUGACGGUACCAGAUGAAUAAGCACCGGCUAACUCCGUGCCAGCAGCCGCGGUAAUACGGAGGGUGCAAGCGUUAUCCGGAUUCACUGGGUUUAAAGGGUGCGUAGGUGGGCAGGUAAGUCAGUGGUGAAAUCUUUGGGCUUAACCCGAAAACUGCCAUUGAUACUAUCUGUCUUGAAUGUUGUGGAGGUGAGCGGAAUAUGUCAUGUAGCGGUGAAAUGCUUAGAUAUGACAUAGAACAUCGAUUGCGAAGGCAGCUCGCUACGCAAAUAUUGACACUGAGGCACGAAAGCGUGGGGAUCAAACAGGAUUAGAUACCCUGGUAGUCCACGCCCUAAACGAUGAUUACUCGACAUACGCGAUACACAGUGUGUGUCUGAGCGAAAGCAUUAAGUAAUCCACCUGGGAAGUACGACCGCAAGGUUGAAACUC
rnacentral:rRNA from 1 species